rnacentral:tRNA from 1 species
CUGCCGGCCCAGCCGGGCGCGACGGCGGCGCCGGCGCUGCUGCGCGAGGUCACCUUCGCCGGCGCCCGCUCGGUCCGGGUGCCGGCCGGC